UACAGAGGUCUCAAGCGUUGUUCGGAUUCAUUGGGCGUAAAGAGCUCGUAGGCGGCUCGGUAAGUCUGCUGUGAAAGUCCAGGGCUCAACCCUGGGAUGCCGGUGGAUACUGUCGAGCUAGAGUCCGGAAGAGGCGAGUGGAAUUCCUGGUGUAGCGGUGAAAUGCGCAGAUAUCAGGAGGAACACCAAUGGCGAAGGCAGCUCGCUGGGACGGUACUGACGCUGAGACGCGAAAGCGUGGGGAGCAAACAGG
rnacentral:rRNA from 1 species